CCAAUAGCGUAUAUUAAAGUUGUUGCAGUUAAAAAGCUCGUAGUUGAACUUCGGGGUUUACUCAUUGGUCAGGCUUAAUUGUCUGUACUGGUGAGCUGAAUCUCUACCUUCUGAGGAACUUUCAUGCCUUUUAUUUGGUGUGAUGGGAAAUCAGGACUGUUACUUUGAAAAAAUUAGAGUGUUUAAAGCAGGCUAACGUCUGAAUACAUUAGCAUGGAAUAAUGAAAUAGGACGGAUUGAUUCUAUUUCGUUGGUUUCUAGGAUCACCGUAAUGAUUAAUAGGGAUAGUUGGGGGCAUUAGUAUUCAAUUGUCAGAGGUGAAAUUCUUGGAUUUAUUGAAGACUAACUACUGCGAAAGCAUUUGCCAAGGAUGUUUUCAUUAAUCAAGAACGAAAGUUAGGGGAUCGAAGACGAUCAGAUACCGUCGUAGUCUUAACCAUAAACUAUGCCGACUAGGGAUCGGACGAAGUUAAUUUUUUAAUGACUCGUUUGGCACCUUACG
rnacentral:rRNA from 1 species